AUGCACGCUGGCGGCGUGCCUAAUACAUGCCAGUCGAGCGAACAGACGAGGAGCUUGCUCCUCUGACGUUAGCGGCGGACGGGUGAGUAACACGUGGAUAACCUACCUAUAAGACUGGGAUAACUUCGGGAAACCGGGGCUAAUACCGGAUAAUAUAUUGAACCGCAUGGUUCAAUAGUGAAAGACGGUUUUGCUGUCACUUAUAGAUGGAUCCGCGCCGCAUUAGCUAGUUGGUAAGGUAACGGCUUACCAAGGCAACGAUGCGUAGCCGACCUGAGAGGGUGAUCGGCCACACUGGAACUGAGACACGGUCCAGACUCCUACGGGAGGCAGCAGUAGGGAAUCUUCCGCAAUGGGCGAAAGCCUGACGGAGCAACGCCGCGUGAGUGAUGAAGGUCUUCGGAUCGUAAAACUCUGUUAUUAGGGAAGAACAAAUGUGUAAGUAACUAUGCACGUCUUGACGGUACCUAAUCAGAAAGCCACGGCUAACUACGUG
rnacentral:rRNA from 1 species